UCUACGGGAGGCUGCAGUGAGGAAUAUUGGUCAAUGGGCGAGAGCCUGAACCAGCCAAGUCGCGUGAGGGAAGACGGUCCUAUGGAUUGUAAACCUCUUUUGUCGGGGAGCAAAAAGGCCUCGUGAGGCCACAAGUGAGAGUACCCGAAGAAAAAGCAUCGGCUAACUCCGUGCCAGCAGCCGCGGUAAUACGGAGGAUGCGAGCGUUAUUCGGAUUUAUUGGGUUUAAAGGGUGCGUAGGCGGACUGGAAAGUCAGCGGUAAAAGCGAGAGGCUCAACCUCUUUCCGCCGUUGAGACUGGUUUUCUUGAGUGAGCGAGAAGUAUGCGGAAUGCGUGGUGUAGCGGUGAAAUGCAUAGAUAUCACGCAGAACUCCGAUUGCGAAGGCAGCAUACCGGCGCUCAACUGACGCUCAUGCACGAAAGUGUGGGUAUCGAACAGGAUUAGAUACCCUAGUAGUC
rnacentral:rRNA from 1 species